GGUUAUUAUCUUGAAUAUUAUUAUAGAUAGAGAUAAACUGUAAACAGGAAUAAUGUUCAGCAAAGUAAGAUUUACAAAUAAGUCAACAUGACGGAAAUGGUCAGUUGACCCCUUUAGGAGUUAUUGCCCUUUAUAGUCAAUUUUUAACCAUUUUUUUCGUAAAUCUUAGUAAUCUUUUACAAAAAUCUUCUCCUCUGAAACUACUGGGCC
rnacentral:lncRNA from 1 species